rnacentral:lncRNA from 1 species
AAUAUUAGGUUCACACGCAGUGGGUUACAAUUGGAAGGGUCUGCAAUGGACGGUUCAAGACGUAUUAAGUCGGUCUCUUAUAUCAUUGCCAGUUGGUCUCUUAAGGCGCUCACGAUUUGGUGGGUGUUUCCAUGGGUCGGGUGCCUCUUUCGCUGGGUGAUUGUUGGGUGGUUUCUCGGUCCAUUUGCUUUCGUGUAUCUCCAUGGCUUCUGCUGGGGCAGCGUGCUUCUCCUUCUUCAGGGGUCGGGCUGCCUUUGCCGCCUUCCAAUCGACUGGUGUGUCUCCUCCAUGGGCUGCUGUUGCUAGCGCCGUUGAUGUCUUGCCUCCUGUGUGCUCCGGAGGGAGCUGGUCGGGUGUCCUGGUG